rnacentral:rRNA from 1 species
UACGUAGGCAGCGAGCGUUUGUUCGGAAUUACUGGGCGUAAAGAGUGUGUAGGCGGUGCUCUAAGUUCGGUGUGAAAAUCUCCUGGCUCAACUGGGAGGGUGCGCCGGGAAACUGGAGUGCUUGAGCGUGGGAGAGGAAAGCGGAAUUCCUGGUGUAGCGGUGAAAUGCGUAGAGAUGUGGAGGAACACCAGUGGCGAAGGCGACUUUCUGGGCUGUAACUGACGCUGAGGCGCGAAAGCGUGGGGAGCAAACAGGG